rnacentral:rRNA from 1 species
CACCUCCAGCAUCCCUAGUAUUGGAGGCACUGCCUGCCCAGUGACUAAACGUUAAACGGCCGCGGUAUUCUGACCGUGCAAAGGUAGCAUAAUCAUUUGUUCUCUAAAUAAGGACUUGUAUGAAUGGCCACACGAGGGUUUUACUGUCUCUUACUUCCAAUCAGUGAAAUUGACCUCCCCGUGAAGAGGCGGGGAUAAAUCAACAAGACGAGAAGACCCUAUGGAACUUUAACUAAGUAACUCAAGGAAAAUAAAUUCAACCACCAAGGGAUAACAACACUCCUUAUGAGUUAACAGUUUCGGUUGGGGUGACCUCGGAGAACAGAAAAUCCUCCGAGCGAUUUUAAAGACUAGACUAACAAGUCAAACCAAACCAUCGCUUAUUGAUCCAAAAACUUGAUCAACGGAACAAGUUACCCUAGGGAUAACAGCGCAAUCCUAUUCAAGAGUCCAUAUCGACAAUAGGGUUUACGACCUCGAUGUUGGAUCAGGACACCCCGAUGGUGCAACCGCUAUCAAAGGUUCGUUUGUUCAACGAUUAAAGUCCU